AGGGCCCCGACCAGGGGGACCAGCCUCCAGGGCAGCCGCCAGGGACAGGAGAGCUGUCACAGCAGGGACCUCCAGUGAGCUCAGGACCCCAGCCCACACUGGCUAAACCUGGUGACGUGGUGGCUGAAAACGCCAAGGUGUGCAGAGGCAAGGAACAAGAGGAGAGGCUCGUGCCAGUCAGGGGCUGUGUCCCCUAGAUGCAUAUGUCGACAUCCUGACCCCCUCAGGAUGCGACUGUAUUUGGAGACUGGGCCUUUAAAGAGGUGGUCAAGGUAAAACGAGGCCCUUAGGGUGGGCCCUGAUCCAGUGUGACUGGUGCCCUCAUGAGAGAGGAGAUGAGGACACACACACGCACAGAGGUAAUACCAUGUGAGGACACAGGGGGAAGAUGACAGUGUCCACACCCCAAGGAGAGAGGCAUCAGGAGGAACCAGCCCUGCUAACACCUUAAUCUCCAACUUCCAGCCUCCAGGAUGGAGGAAGAACAUGUUUCUGUUGUUUAAGCCCCUGGUCUGUGGUAUUUGACUGACUGACACUGGAACCUGGGAGAAGGCCACACCCAGAGACCCUCCCAGGUUACCAGGAGCCUCGAUAGAAGCAGAGAAAUGAGGCCAUGGCCUGUGCAAGCCAAGAGAGCUGGGGAUACCUUCCUUGGUCCCCACCCCACUCCCAGGUGUGUUCUGCUGAGGUCCGAACAAAGUGAGGGAAGUUCCCGGAGUGGAGCAAGAGAAGCUGAAGGCCAGAGGGCGGAGCGGGAGCUGCCCGGUGCCUGCACCUGCUGUCCCCAGGCUGAGCCAGGGCGCUGGGGACACAGACAGAACACAGGCCGCUGCCCUGAAUGACAGGCCAGGCUGUGAAGCCAGGAUGGACGGGACGUUCUGCAAACAGCUGCCUAAGACUCCCCAAAGUGUUGACGCCGGAAAAGGCAGCCAGACAACGUCUGAGGCACCGUCAGAAGAAGAAAGGGAGCUAGGAGACAUGAAAACUUUGCCAAUUUAAAACGGGACGAAUGGGAAGGAAGAAAGCCUUCGUGAGCAGAGAGGGAGAACUGGAAGACGCAGAAGGCCACCAGGAGCCUGGGAACCACGGGGAAUACAUUCAGUUGGUUUGAAUUAUCGUUUGCUUUGACUCAGGGAGAGAAGUUGGAAGUGUCAUGGGUGUGGGCCUGCGUGUCCUGCCCCCUGCCAGCACCCCCGCCAUGGAGGUCUUCUCAGGAGCACAGAGCCCCGCUCGUCAGUAUUGAUCAGUUCUGCAGUCUCUGGUCAGCUCAGAAUACCAGGAGCCUGUUUGUCCCUGAGGCAGCCUCCAAAGAUGGGCUGCCACACUGGGAGCAACCUGGGGACUCCCCAGGAGGAGGCCACAAAACGUCUGGAGUCAUGGGAGCUUCCUGGGCACAAUUACCCCUGCCUGCACUCCAGGAACUCUUAAAACUACGUAAGCUUCAUAUGCCUGCAGGACUGCUGACCCUUCUGGCUUUCCAAUCAUUCUACUUUCAUUUGUAUCAGCUGGAAAGUGGGUCCCAUUAAAUAAAAACCAGAGCAGCUGCGGCUCGGCCCCCACCCAAGCACCAGACUCAGCAGAGGUGCCAGAGGUUGCUAGUGCCGGCCCACCUCGUAGACACUGACAAGGGAGAGUGGAGCAAUAGCGGCGGUAGACACACACGUCCCCCUCUGGACUGCCCACACUGCCCUGAUGCUUUAUGUAAAUCGCCACCUUCAACCCAUCCAAAGCCCCCACGGCCUGCCCGCCGUUUUCAUCUCCCUCGUCCACUGUAUCCGGGUAAAACAGCGUCUUCUCUGAGGACAGGGCUGGGUCUCCUCCUGUCGGCUGAAAUUCCCUUGCCAAAUAUAGCAAAUGGAAUCUACAAAACGAAACGGUGAGAGAUUCAAGCAGCUCUGGCAAAUUAGACCAAGUAAAUUGUGCUGUCCCAUCCUGAAAGCGUGCUGGGCUUUCCCGUGACGCUGCACUGCCGGCAGAGCCCCCAGCGGCAACGGACGGAGGGCUCUCCCUCCCUCGCCCUGCCUCCUCACUAAUCCUAUUCCACCACAACGUUUCCUCGACAGUGAAAAAAUCCACCCAGUGGUGUCCAGAUGCUCGAAAGAUCCUGUGAACAGUGUCU
rnacentral:lncRNA from 1 species